GCUGGUCCUGGGUCAGAGUUAUACACUCCACAAGGACAGCUGCUCAGGGGACAGGACUCACAGGGCCCGGAAAGACACUGUUGAGUCUCCGAUGCUUUUAGAGAUGCUGAGCUGGGCUUUAAAAGGAAGCUGAGGCAGGAGGAUCAUGAAUUGGAUGCCAGACCUGAAUUACAUGGCAAGACCUUACCUCAAAAGCACCUCCUGAGCUUCCAAGCCUGCUUCUGUGGGAGUGGAAAGACUGAGGCCAAGAGUAAGCUGUGGCCUUGUAGACAGUGGGUCUCCAUUCGGCCUCCAUCCCUGCCAGCACAGCAGAGGUACCAAACCCCUGUAGGUCAUGGUUGCCAGAAGUGCCUGUGACAGAAGAGACCAAAGCAAAGCAUGGCUUUUCACAUGGCAGAAGACAGCCCAGCAUCUGAACAACUCUUCCAUUCAGAUGUGAGUUGAGAGGCACAGGAAAAACUGCUGAGUGAA
rnacentral:lncRNA from 1 species